UUCGCAAUGCCCGAAAGGGUGACGAAGCGACGCCGCGUGGGUGAGGAAGGCCUUCGGGUUGUAAAGCCCUGUCAGGAGUUAAGAAAUGUAAGUGUGCUAAUAUCGCAUUUACUUGACGAAGGCUCCAAAGGAAGUCACGGCUAACUCUGUGCCAGCAGCCGCGGUAAUACAGAGGUGGCAAGCGUUGUUCGGAAUUAUUGGGCGUAAAGAGCACGUAGGUGGGUUUGUAAGUCAGAUGUGAAAGCCUUCUGUUCAACGGGAGAAUUGCAUCUGAAACUGCAAGUCUUGAGUAUAGGAGGGGAGAAUGGAACUUCUGGUGGAGCGGUGAAAUGCGUAGAUAUCAGAAGGAACGCCGGCGGCGAAAGCGAUUCUCUGGCCUAUUACUGACACUCAGUGUGCGAAAGCUAGGGGAGCAAACGGGAUUAGAUACCCCGGUAGUCCUAACUGUAAACGAUGGGCACUAAGUAGAGGGGUUUU
rnacentral:rRNA from 1 species